rnacentral:lncRNA from 1 species
CCCUGCAACAAAGUUCAACAGUUAGCUUCACAAGCAACAGCCCAAUUACUUUGCCAAAUUUGUCUGCUUCCUCGUCCAUUAAACUUGUGCAUAAUAGAAAAACUCUUGUUGUAUGACCCUCUUCCACUAGGAGAACUCCAUCCCUGCAUGUAAUAUGUACACGAAAGGUAUCAAUAUUUAAAAUUCAUUAUUAUAAAAGGGGUCUCUUCUUUUGUUUUCAGAACUCCGAUACCGCAAGUCACUUCCCCGUUCUUUUAAUUCUAUUCAUACAAAAAUCAUAAUGAGACAGUGGCGACAAAAAUAUAUGCAUGGCUCGAACAAAAACCACCAAAUCAAAUAAUUUCAAAAGCUAUAGAUUACUAAAACUACCUCUGAGAGGCAUUCUAAAAGCAUUUUGCAGCAUUCCUGAUGAAGAAGAGAGAUUCCAAAUUUGUCAGACAAUAGAAGAAGCUGGAGUAACAAGGUACCAAAGUCCUCAGUAUCCUCAAUACGGAGCUCCCCACUGUACAUGAAUUCAAGCAUAGCCUUCAAUGCUUCUGAAGACACAUCUUUUAAACAGACCUCAGGCGUGUUGCUCUCACACAUUCCAUUUGUGAAC